rnacentral:rRNA from 1 species
GAUGAACGCUGGCGGCGUGCCUAAUACAUGCAAGUCGAGCGAACAGAUGAGGAGCUUGCUCCUCUGACGUUAGCGGCGGACGGGUGAGUAACACGUGGAUAACCUACCUAUAAGACUGGGAUAACUUCGGGAAACCGGAGCUAAUACCGGAUAAUAUAUUGAACCGCAUGGUUCAAUAGUGAAAGACGGUUUUGCUGUCACUUAUAGAUGGAUCCGCGCCGCAUUAGCUAGUUGGUAAGGUAACGGCUUACCAAGGCAACGAUGCGUAGCCGACCUGAGAGGGUGAUCGGCCACACUGGAACUGAGACACGGUCCAGACUCCUACGGGAGGCAGCAGUAGGGAAUCUUCCGCAAUGGGCGAAAGCCUGACGGAGCAACGCUGCGUGAGUGAUGAAGGUCUUCGGAUCGUAAAACUCUGUUAUUAGGGAAGAACAAAUGUGUAAGUAACUAUGCACGUCUUGACGGUACCUAAUCAGAAAGCCACGGCUAACUACGUG